rnacentral:rRNA from 1 species
UACCGGGAGGUAUGCUGGAGGUAUCACAAGUGCGAAUGCUGACGCAAGUAACGAUAAAACGAGUUAAAUGCUCGUUCGCCGGAAGACCAAGGUUUCCUGUCCAACGUUAAACGGGGCAGGGUGAGUCGGUACCUAAGGCGAGGAUGAAAAUCGUAGUCGAAGGGAAACGGGUUAAUAUUCCCGUACCAAUAAAUAUUGCGAUGUGCUGACGGAGAAGGGAAGGUUAGCCUGGCGACGGUUGUCCAGGUGAAAGGCGGUAGGUAGCAUGAGUGGUUAAAAGAACUGAUGCGAUAAUCCGAGAACCGAGACGAAGUAACUACGGUUACGAAGUAACUGGUACCAGACUUCCAGGAAAAGGCACUAAGCAUCAGAUAUUUAAUGACCGUACCCCAAACCGACACAGGUGGUCGGGUAGAGAAUACCAAGGCGCUUGGGAGAACUCGGGUGAAGGAACUAGGCAAAAUUGUACCGUAACUUCGGGAGAAGGUACGCUGAGGGGAGUGAAAAGCGAACGCUAGGAGCUUCAAUCAGCCGCAGAUAAAUGGUGGCUGGGACUGUUUAACAAAAACACAGCACUCUGCAAACCUGAAAGGGGAAGUAUAGGGUGUGACACCUGCCCGGUGCCGGAAGGUUAAAUGAUGAGGUUAGAGCAAUCGAAGCCUCUGAGUGAAGCCCCGGUAAACGGCGGCCGUAACUAUAACGGUCCUAAGGUAGCGAAAUUCCUUGUCGGGCAAGUUCCGACCUGCACGAAUGGUGUAACCAUGGCCACGCUGUCUCCACCCGAGACCCAGUGAAACCGAAAUCGCUGUGAAGAUGCAGUGUACCCGCGGCUAGACGGAAAGACCCCGUGAACCUUUACUGCAGCUUGACACUGAACCUUGAACCUAUUUGUGCAGGAUAGGCGGGAGACAUAGAAGUAGUGACGCCAGUUGCUAUGGAGUCGACGUUGAAAUACCGCCCUGAUAGUUUUGAGGUUCUAACUUGAGAUAAACAAAUCUAAGGACAGUGUCUGGUGGGAAGUUUGACUGGGGCGGUCUCCUCCCAAAGAGUAACGGAGGAGCACGAAGGUCGGCUGAUCACGGUCGGAAACCGUGAGGUCAGUGCAAUGGCA